rnacentral:rRNA from 1 species
GGUUAAGCGACUAAGCGUACACGGUGGAUGCCCUGGCAGUCAGAGGCGAUGAAGGACGUGCUAAUCUGCGAAAAGCGUCGGUAAGGUGAUAUGAACCGUUAUAACCGGCGAUGUCCGAAUGGGGAAACCCAGUGCAAUUCGUUGCACUAUCGUUAACUGAAUACAUAGGUUAACGAGGCGAACCGGGGGAACUGAAACAUCUAAGUACCCCGAGGAAAAGAAAUCAACCGAGAUUCCCCCAGUAGCGGCGAGCGAACGGGGAGCAGCCCAGAGUCUGAAUCAGCUUGUGUGUUAGUGGAACGGUCUGGAAAGUCCGACGGUACAGGGUGAUAGUCCCGUACACCAAAAUGCACAGGUUGUGAACUCGAAGAGUAGGGCGGGACACGUGGUAUCCUGUCUGAAUAUGGGGGGACCAUCCUCCAAGGCUAAAUACUCCUGACUGACCGAUAGUGAACCAGUACCGUGAGGGAAAGGCGAAAAGAACCCCGGCGAGGGGAGUGAAAAAGAACCUGAAACCGUGUACGUACAAGCAGUGGGAGCACCUUCGGGUGUGACUGCGUACCUUUUGUAUAAUGGGUCAGCGACUUAUAUUCUGUAGCAAGGUUAACCGUAUAGGGGAGCCGCAGGGAAACCGAGUCUUAACUGGGCGUUAAGUUGCAGGGUAUAGACCCGAAACCCGGUGAUCUAGCCAUGGGCAGGUUGAAGGUUGGGUAACACUAACUGGAGGACCGAACCGACUAAUGUUGAAAAAUUAGCGGAUGACUUGUGGCUGGGGGUGAAAGGCCAAUCAAACCGGGAGAUAGCUGGUUCUCCCCGAAAGCUAUUUAGGUAGCGCCUCGUGAACUCAUCUUCGGGGGUAGAGCACUGUUUCGGCUAGGGGGUCAUCCCGACUUACCAACCCGAUGCAAACUACGAAUACCGAAGAAUGUUAUCACGGGAGACACACGGCGGGUGCUAACGUCCGUCGUGAAGAGGGAAACAACCCAGACCGCCAGCUAAGGUCCCAAAGUCAUGGUUAAGUGGGAAACGAUGUGGGAAGGCACAGACAGCCAGGAUGUUGGCUUAGAAGCAGCCAUCAUUUAAAGAAAGCGUAAUAGCUCACUGGUCGAGUCGGCCUGCGCGGAAGAUGUAACGGGGCUAAACCAUGCACCGAAGCUGCGGCAGCGACACUAUGUGUUGUUGGGUAGGGGAGCGUUCUGUAAGCCUGCGAAGGUGACCUGUGAGGGUUGCUGGAGGUAUCAGAAGUGCGAAUGCUGACAUAAGUAACGAUAAAGCGGGUGAAAAGCCCGCUCGCCGGAAGACCAAGGGUUCCUGUCCAACGUUAAUCGGGGCAGGGUGAGUCGACCCCUAAGGCGAGGCCGAAAGGCGUAGUCGAUGGGAAACAGGUUAAUAUUCCUGUACUUGGUGUUACUGCGAAGGGGGGACGGAGAAGGCUAUGUUAGCCGGGCGACGGUUGUCCCGGUUUAAGCAUGUAGGCUGAUUGUCCAGGCAAAUCCGGAUAAUCAAGGCUGAGGUGUGAUGACGAGGCACUACGGUGCUGAAGUAACAAAUGCCCUGCUUCCAGGAAAAGCCUCUAAGCAUCAGGUAACAUCAAAUCGUACCCCAAACCGACACAGGUGGUCAGGUAGAGAAUACCAAGGCGCUUGAGAGAACUCGGGUGAAGGAACUAGGCAAAAUGGUGCCGUAACUUCGGGAGAAGGCACGCUGGUGUGUAGGUGAAGCCCCUGCGGGUGGAGCUGAGACCAGUCGAAGAUACCAGCUGGCUGCAACUGUUUAUUAAAAACACAGCACUGUGCAAACACGAAAGUGGACGUAUACGGUGUGACGCCUGCCCGGUGCCGGAAGGUUAAUUGAUGGGGUUAUCCGUAAGGAGAAGCUCUUGAUCGAAGCCCCGGUAAACGGCGGCCGUAACUAUAACGGUCCUAAGGUAGCGAAAUUCCUUGUCGGGUAAGUUCCGACCUGCACGAAUGGCGUAAUGAUGGCCAGGCUGUCUCCACCCGAGACUCAGUGAAAUUGAACUCGCUGUGAAGAUGCAGUGUACCCGCGGCAAGACGGAAAGACCCCGUGAACCUUUACUAUAGCUUGACACUGAACAUUGAGCCUUGAUGUGUAGGAUAGGUGGGAGGCUUUGAAGCGUGGACGCCAGUCUGCGUGGAGCCAACCUUGAAAUACCACCCUUUAAUGUUUGAUGUUCUAACGUUGGCCCCUUACCGGGGUUGCGGACAGUGUCUGGUGGGUAGUUUGACUGGGGCGGUCUCCUCCCAAAGCGUAACGGAGGAGCACGAAGGUUAGCUAAUCCUGGUCGGACAUCAGGAGGUUAGUGCAAUGGCAUAAGCUAGCUUGACUGCGAGCGUGACGGCGCGAGCAGGUGCGAAAGCAGGUCAUAGUGAUCCGGUGGUUCUGAAUGGAAGGGCCAUCGCUCAACGGAUAAAAGGUACUCCGGGGAUAACAGGCUGAUACCGCCCAAGAGUUCAUAUCGACGGCGGUGUUUGGCACCUCGAUGUCGGCUCAUCACAUCCUGGGGCUGAAGUAGGUCCCAAGGGUAUGGCUGUUCGCCAUUUAAAGUGGUACGCGAGCUGGGUUUAGAACGUCGUGAGACAGUUCGGUCCCUAUCUGCCGUGGGCGCUGGAGAAUUGAGGGGGGCUGCUCCUAGUACGAGAGGACCGGAGUGGACGCAUCACUGGUGUUCGGGUUGUCAUGCCAAUGGCACUGCCCGGUAGCUAAAUGCGGAAGAGAUAAGUGCUGAAAGCAUCUAAGCACGAAACUUGCCCCGAGAUGAGUUCUCCCUGAGACUUUAAGUCUCCUGAAGGAACGUUGAAGACGACGACGUUGAUAGGCCGGGUGUGUAAGCGCAGCGAUGCGUUGAGCUAACCGGUACUAAUGAACCGUGAGGCUUAACCUU